GCAGGGUUUGUGGCCUGCAUUGACUCUGGUGCUGCCAUAGCAACGCUCCCCUCUGCAGCAAAGACAGAGGAUUUAAAGCCAACAGCAGCAAGCCUCCACAAAUUACAACUUUGAAUUUUGUAAUAAGCACACUCUUAAAGAUGGUGGGUGUCCAGCAGCCAGGAGAAGGAGGCAGAUCUUUCUAGUUGGCUGCAGCAUCCAGGAGAUGUUUAUUGUGAUAAAGGAACUUAGCUGGUGUAGGUGUGCAUGGAGGUGGUUUUGUCCAGACUGCAUACACAUUCCAUUUUUGAUGAUGAAUACUGCUUUUUGCUUGAUGAAAAACACUCUCAGAUUGGUUGUUCUCCUUGGAUAGAUUGUAUUGAAUAUACUGACUUGGCAGCACUAUUUUGUGAAGAGUGAGAAAAGUAAUGAAAACUUGAUGGAUCUGAAAGAAGAGGUUUGAUCUUCAUUCCCAAGUGAACAAUGAGCCGAGAGGCUGCACACAGUGCAGCAUCUGCCAAAGUAGCUGGAAUAAUAAGUCUCUGCAGGCAAGGUACUUCUGGAGGAUUAUUUGACUGCUCAGGUGGCUGUAUGCACUUGACCUUCAGUCCCAUGUGACACAUCCCUGAAGAAUAGACUUAAUCCUCUAAAAAUGCACUAUUUGUUGUGUCUAAUGUUUUGAAUAUCACCUGCCUUCCUGCUUUUCACAUCUUAAGAAUUGUAUUUAACUCCUAUUUUUCAGAAGGACAAUAUAGUCACAAUGCCUGCUGGAAUUAUUGUUUGAUUCAGCAAGUAGUGAGGAUGGUAAUUUUAUGGCAAAUGGAAUGAAGGUAGGAUAAGGGCAAGGAACAAAGUUCUCAAGGUUGGAAGGAGAAUCUCCUGCUGCUUUAUGGUACCAGAGGAACCAAAAGAACUCGAAGGCAGCUCCCUUCCCUGCCCCACUAAUUCUGUGCAGGACAGUCUGUCUCCUGGGAAAGAGCUUUGAGUGCAUGUUCAGCCACAAUGGGAAAUCAUGGAGUAACAUUUGGGUUGGGAGGCAAAUGGCAGUGGAGGUUUUCUAACCAGAAAGUUUGCAUAGCAGAUUUUUAUUCUUAAAGUCAUUCUGUCUGCCUCUGUGUGACCCAAGUGCUGUAUCAAAGCAGCUCAGGGGAGAGCAGAUAUCACAGUUAAAGCUGAAUUUUGGAGCCUGGAAAGCUCAGGCAGUGUGUAAUAUUUGCUGAGGGACACUGGUGCUUUGGUUACAUGUCACAGGAGGGUUAUGCAUGCUGGCAGCCUGGAGGCUUGUGCCACACAUCUUCUCCAAAGGGGAUCUAUGUGCAAAGACUCAGCAAAGGGAAGCUUUGCUGCCUCUGGACAUUAGUUGAUAGUUUUAAAGCAUUCCUCCCCAUCCUGAGAGCAGCAGUGCAGAACCACCUACUAAAUCCUCUAGCACAAAAGAAUCCCUUUCUCUUUGGAGGCAAACAAGUGUGAAACCAAGUGAGCAGUGAGAAAAGCUGAAUUCUCUGCUACUGUUUCAUAUCAAAGUGCAGAGUUUUUUCCCCUGUGUGUUUCUCCUGAGAAGUGUCUCAUGCAGAACGAGAAUAUUUUUUUUUAAAUAAAAUGCUGAAUUACUGCAGUGAACAUCUAGCUUGCGCCACUUGUUAAUGUCUAGAACAAGCCCCAAAGAACUUUUUUAGAUAUUAAUCAUGCCUGUAUUGGUGUCAUCCACCUGCUGGCAUUGUAACCCACAGGCUCCCUAUGUCCCAUUAGCCUCUGUAAGACGAAACCGAUUGCACUGAGGUAUGACAAUGCCAGAUGAUAAUAGGGUAGCCAAAGUUGGUGCAUUUUUAAAUUUGAAAGGAGAGGUUUUCUCAUGUACUGGAAGGCUGCAGUGAGCCCCUUAGAAGCAAAGUGA